rnacentral:rRNA from 1 species
AUCUGCUUCAAGCGCAGCCUGUGCGCGAGGAAGGAUGAGGCUUUGACCCGCUAGCGAGGGAGAAGAUGCGAUCUGGACGGUUAUUAUUUCGCGAAUCGAACGAUUGGGGCUUGACCGGCGGAACCUUUCGGCCGGCGCACCGGCGCCCAGUACUGGCCUUGAUGAAUAGUCUGCCGUUUAUUUUUCGUUGGUUUUAUUUCGUCCCAUCACUUUCGCUGAUUUUUUUUCGUCUCUUACCCCACGGCACCCCAUCCCACGCAGCCAAAAAAAACAACACCCAGCAAGAAAAAAAAACCAUGGACCCCAUCCUUCGUUGCCCUUUCCCAUCGAUCCCAUCUACCCCCGCCGCCGCCGUCCGAGGGGGAGACGACGCCGCCGCCGCCUCUGCAAGGCAGGGCGGUUUGAAUCCCGCCGCUGCCGAACUCCGGGAAACGCCCGACGGCGUACCCUGGAAGGCCUGGAUCAAGGAGGAGCACAGCGAUUUCGUGGCCGCGGCAUUGCGGCGCGGUGGCCGGGGGUCGCGGCGUCCCAUGUGGGUGCAGUGGUCACGGCAGCAGGCACACACGACGGUGGUCGCGCAUGGGGCUGCGCUGGUCUGUGACCACAUGGUGGCGGAAGAAGGUCGUCUUCCCAUAGCACUGCACGCUGGCCGCCAUCUCCAUCGGCGGCUGCACCAACAAGACAGACUGUAUAAUUCGGAUGGGUCUUCUUCUACAUGGUGACUAUUGACGCAAAGAAGGAUUGCACUUCGUUCCCAUCUUCUACAUAGCCUAUACGCGUGUUGUGCUAUUUCAGGAGGAAUAUGAAAAGGAGAUCAAUGACACCAGGUCCCACGAGCUCAUCUUUCUGAAUGGUGCCUUGCUAGGAUGACCCAAAUUAUGUUAGUGUCGGUACGUUUAGUUGGUGAUGGUUUAGCGGGAGCGAGAGCUGCAUCUGUAACUUACGUAACUUACCCAUUGGAUGUUGUUCGAACUCGCUUGGCAACACAGGAGGGUGAGGCAGUGUCAAAGCUACUUAGCAUUCUAAGAUUGUGAACCAGUAUAUGGGUUUGCACAUCUGAGUGCUGGUGAUCUUCUUCGCGAAGAAGUUAAAUGUGAUAUGGAGCAGAUUAAAAUUGACCAUGAGCUCGUACUAUUAAUUGAUGGCUCAAGGGAAGAGACAGCGGCAUAUUCUUAGUUGAAAUCAGUUUGAUGUUUUUCAGGAAUGAAUUCCACUCGUUAUUCAAUACCACUAUGAGAAAAGUAGUGAAAUGCUGGCCGUCUGCAAAAUGUACUGGUCCGUCUCGCGGUCUCACCCCAAAAACAGAGGAGAGGAGCAGGGAGCUCCUCCCUCACACUUGUCGGCUCCAAGGAGCCCCGCCACCAUGCAUGGAGAAGAGGAGCGCGAAGCUCCUUCGCGGUGUAAGGUUAUCUCCACGCCACUAAUAUCCAUUGUUGCAUCUUGUAAUUAUUACUCCCUCUGUUCCUUUAUAUAAGGUGUAUUUGUUUUUUGAUAAAAUUUCACAAUGUAAGGUGCAUUUGUUCUAAUUCCUCGUAAUUCCGAUUUUGGCCCUUCAGAAAAAGGAAAGUAUCUCUCCCCUGAUUGCUUGUAUCUCUCCUUGUAGAGAAAGAAAAGGAAACUAUAUCUCUCCUGAUUGCGUGUAUCUCUUUCUUUCCUAGCCUAAAUGAUUUAAUUGUCGUUAAUCUACGAAUUAGACAAGGGUAAUUUCGUCCUAAGUAGUCCAUAAUUCUGUGCCUUGGUUAACGUGCUGAAAAUAAUACACCUUAGAUAAAGGAAUGGAGGGAGUAAUUUGGAAUAAAUCAUGCAAUUGGCAUUUCUAUAUGUUUUACUCUGUCUUUUUUAUAGGCAAACCAAGGCUGCAACGUUUGAAUAUUAUACUCAGUCAGUUGCUCGACUACUUACAGUCCUAUUACUUGAGACUUAAUACUCGGCCAGCUGCCGUGUACAUUGUUCUGACAUAAAUGCCACCAUGUCUAUGCACAAGUCAGAAGGAACUUACCAUCUAAAAAGAUGUCUAAUUAGUGUGGUACAUGCUUCAGUACUGCAAGUUGGAGUAGCAAUGCCUACCUGCACAUUGAUGCUCAUACCUGACGGUGAGAGAAGUUGCAUCUUGAGAUUCAAUUCUUUGAUUUAUGAUGCCCAGCCAUAUGCACAAUGAGAACAUAUAUCCUUUUUACUAAUCUCUGUUUUUCUAAGUUGAAACUAUUUCUUUGUUACUUGGUGUGUGUGAAGUGCAAUCAUAGUCCUGUCACAAACUUGUUUGAGGACGGCAAAAGACUGGCCUUUUGCCGGACAGAGAAAAGACCGGCUUAUUUUAUUUUAACACAACAUAGCAAGCUCCAUAUAUUGCAGUUAGUACAUGGCAGGAUGCAGACUAUGUGCAGUAUUAGUGGUGUUUAGACUCCAAAAUGGCAGUAUUAGUGGUGUUUUAAAGAGAAAGAUUCGUAAAUGAUGUUGUUCUCUACUAAGAAAAUUCAGUAGUCGGUGUCACCAUUGAGUGCCAAUGUGAUGGGCAUUUAAGAUUUAGAUUCAGAACUCCUGGGUUCAACACAGAUGGCUUCACUUCAAUAUUUUUCCCCAUGUGGUUGAUGGAUGCGUACAUAUCUAUGUACACUGGUACAUAUCCAUCCAUUCAACUUCAGUUUUGAUGCAUCGUGUAUACUGAAUCCUACAUUAUGUUGAGAAAUUUAGAUAUAUAAAAGUAUCUGUAAGCCGACCACAUACCACACAUUUUAAAGGUUUAUUUUCUCUACAUCUGUACUAGCUUUGAACCAAGUAUUUCUACCUUCUUUUUAUUUGUUGCCAGAAAUUAAGGAAUGUCGAUCUGAUGUAUUUUUACAACAAUCAGCGUGUUGAUGUGGAGCUUGUCCAUUCGCGACAUAACUUGUUUAUGUGGGAUGGUUGGAUGAUUGAAAGUCGGACGUACCAUUAACGACGGUUGUGAGCAUGGAUUGGGGAGACGAAGAUUAUGGGAGCACAAGAAAGAAAAGAAGAAGAAAACACGUUGCGGAGUGUCGCGGCCUCCCAGUUCUUGGCCUCCGUCGGGUGGCUAGACCACGCCACAUAGAAGACGAGGGUUAUGUCAGUUAGGGGCCUCGGCAACGACGACGAGAAUGGCCAGGUCGAAAUCACAGGUGCGUGACGGCUGGAGACGGCCGCAGGGUCCAGAGAUGGGGCGCACGGCGGAUGUGUUCUACUUCCCAUUGAGAGAAUUCUGGUGGGUUUCUCUAAUAGUAUGCCAAACUAACUAACAAUUGUAGUUAACUAUACCGCAGCGGCGCACUUCUUAUUUUGGGAUUAAGCCUAAUGCUUGCUCUACCAAUCAAGUAGUACUGUUGUGAACUCAUAGGUAAAACCAUUCUCUAUCCAAUACAGUGUUAGCAUAGCUGAGCGUGAUUAGGAGGGCAUGAUUAUUACUUUGGAUUGCUUUACGUAGAUUGGCAUGGCUGAUCUUCCCUUCCAUUAUUAUUGCUACUUUAUGUUUUAAUUCCAUUUUUCUUUACUUGUUCGGAUCCAUGUUCCAGUGACUUCCUGAACUUUUACUUGUUGAUGGGAAGUUUCUAUUUUAAUUUUUCUUUCACUUUAUCUUCAGGUUUACAGGGUUAAUGGAUCCAUGUUUGAGUUUAUAGAAGUGUGUUUACUUAUCUAGCUUUCUGUUUUCAUUCUGUUUGAAAUCCAUCGACAUUUUCCAAAAUUCCCUUAUCAAUGCACGAGUUUCCUUUCUUAAUUAACAUGUGAAGUUCCUUGUUCAACAAUGAUUUUUAGGCCAAAUCAGAGGAUGCAGGUUGUACCAUUGAAGAGAGAAAAUUAUGAGAAAACUACAAUAUAUGAGAGGCUUGGUUGAUACCUUCAGAAAAGCUACAUCCCAAUAAUGUUGUGGGUUACACCUUCUGGCUUGAAAAUCAGCUUCAUAACAAGAAAGUUGCAACACUAUAUUGGUGGAUAAUUGCAUUAAAUAAAUGUUGUAAUGGUGCAUUUGUUUUUAGAUUUCUAUUAACCUGGUACCAAAAAGUUGGAGAGCAAGGACCUUAUAUCAGUGGUGUUUAUACUCCAAAAUUGCAGUAUCGGUGGUGUUUAUACUCCAAAAUUGCAGUAUCAGUGGUGUUUAGAUUCCAAAACCUAUCUAGAGUAAUCUGUCAUUUGUUCUUCAAAGAGAUUGCGUAUCUGUUACCCCAUGUCAGGUUCAGUACCUCUGGGUUCAAGAUCUAUAGCUACAAGUACUUUUGACUAGAUUGUGGUCAUAUAUGUGCUAAUUCAUGCUGAUACGCAUGCUCUUUGAACUUUUGAAAGGAAUGGAUGAAAUCAUCAUCAGAGCUUCUGCAAAUGGGAUCUCUCUUGUAAGCCCCGCUAUAGUUACUUCACUGGUCUGAACUUUGAGUAACUUGAUAUAUGUGUCUCCCAGACAAAAAUAUUUUUAUUUAUUAGUUGUAUACAUCGUAGGUUAAUACUCGUGGAUGUUGAAGAAGUUAAAUGCUAUGUACUCUUUAUUAGUUUGGUUUGAAAUGAAAAGGAUGGCAAGCUUCUUCAGUUUAUUAGUUUUUGUUUGAAAUGAGUUGUUUUUUAAAUUAAAGUUAUAUGGUCUAUAAUUAUUGCCGGGAAAAACAGAACCCCU